rnacentral:rRNA from 1 species
GCUGGCGGCAGGCCUAACACAUGCAAGUCGAGCGCCGUAGCAAUACGGAGCGGCAGACGGGAGAGUAACACGUGGGAACGUACCCUUUGGUUCGGAACAACCCAGGGAAACUUGGGCUAAUACCGGAUAAGCCCUUACGGGGAAAGAUUUAUCGCCGAAGGAUCGGCCCGCGUCUGAUUAGCUAGUUGGUGGGGUAACGGCCCACCAAGGCGACGAUCAGUAGCUGGUCUGAGAGGAUGAUCAGCCUCACUGGGACUGAGACACGGCCCAGACUCCUACGGGAGGCAGCAGUGGGGAAUAUUGGACAAUGGGCGCAAGCCUGAUCCAGCCAUGCCGCGUGGGUGAUGAAGGCCCUAGGGUUGUAAAGCCCUUUCGGCGGGGAAGAUAAUGACGGUACCCGCAGAAGAAGCCCCGGCUAACUUC